rnacentral:rRNA from 1 species
GGGUUGUGAGGUUAAGCGACUAAGCGUACACGGUGGAUGCCCUGGCAGUCAGAGGCGAUGAAGGGCGUGCUAAUCUGCGAUAAGCGCCGGUAAGGUGAUAUGAACCGUUAUAACCGGCGAUACCCGAAUGGGGAAACCCAGUGUGACUCGUCACACUAUCAUUAACUGAAUCCAUAGGUUAAUGAGGCGAACCGGGGGAACUGAAACAUCUAAGUACCCCGAGGAAAAGAAAUCAACCGAGAUUCCCCCAGUAGCGGCGAGCGAACGGGGAGGAGCCCAGAGCCUGAAUCAGCAUGUGUGUUAGUGGAAGCGUCUGGAAAGGCGCGCGAUACAGGGUGACAGCCCCGUACACAAAAGCGCAUGUGCUGUGAGCUCGAUGAGUAGGGCGGGACACGUGGUAUCCUGUCUGAAUAUGGGGGGACCAUCCUCCAAGGCUAAAUACUCCUGACUGACCGAUAGUGAACCAGUACCGUGAGGGAAAGGCGAAAAGAACCCCGGCGAGGGGAGUGAAAAAGAACCUGAAACCGUGUACGUACAAGCAGUGGGAGCACAGGUUUACCUGUGUGACUGCGUACCUUUUGUAUAAUGGGUCAGCGACUUAUAUUCUGUAGCAAGGUUAACCGAAUAGGGGAGCCGGAGGGAAACCGAGUCUUAAUUGGGCGUUAAGUUGCAGGGUAUAGACCCGAAACCCGGUGAUCUAGCCAUGGGCAGGUUGAAGGUUGGGUAACACUAACUGGAGGACCGAACCGACUAAUGUUGAAAAAUUAGCGGAUGACCUGUGGCUGGGGGUGAAAGGCCAAUCAAACCGGGAGAUAGCUGGUUCUCCCCGAAAGCUAUUUAGGUAGCGCCUCGUGAAUUCAUCUCCGGGGGUAGAGCACUGUUUCGGCUAGGGGGCCAUCCCGGCUUACCAACCCGAUGCAAACUGCGAAUACCGGAGAAUGUUAUCACGGGAGACACACGGCGGGUGCUAACGUCCGUCGUGAAGAGGGAAACAACCCAGACCGCCAGCUAAGGUCCCAAAGUCAUGGUUAAGUGGGAAACGAUGUGGGAAGGCCCAGACAGCCAGGAUGUUGGCUUAGAAGCAGCCAUCAUUUAAAGAAAGCGUAAUAGCUCACUGGUCGAGUCGGCCUGCGCGGAAGAUGUAACGGGGCUAAACCAUGCACCGAAGCUGCGGCAG